UCCCACUCCCUUUGCUAGCUAGCUUAGCUUCUUUUUAAGAGUUAGAUACAGUGAUCCACUUCAGAAUCCAUCCCCAUUUCCUUAGCUUCUAAUAUAAUUUCAUAUCGAUCAAGUCUAGACACUCUUAUCCGUCGCAGAAUGUCAACAAUAAUAGCCGCCGUAGCAGCCGUUUUGUUGGUUGGGUUGUUGGUCACUCCCCUCAACGCUCAACUCCCCACCACCACUAUCACUAAUGUUUCAAUUUCAAGGAUGAAAAACGCCAUGGCCAAAGGCGCAGUUUGCUUGGAUGGCAGUCCACCUGCCUAUUAUUUUGAUGAGGGCCAAGGGGAUGGAAUCCAUAACUGGCUGAUAUACUUAGAAGGUGGAGGUUGGUGCGUUAGCCACACAGAUUGUAAAUCGCGUGCUCAAUAUAGUCUUGGCUCUUCUAACCGUAGGUGGGAUAAUAUGUCAUUCUAUGGCAUUAUUUCAAAAAAUUCGACAGAAAAUCCUGAAUUUUAUAAUUGGAAUAAGGUUUAUGUUGUUUAUUGCGAUGGAUCUUCGUUUACCGGAGAUGUUGAUGCGGUUGACACUGGCAAUAAUCUAACUUAUAGAGGUGCUCGUGUUUUCAAAGUCAUUAUGGAAGAAUUACUAGCAAGGGGAAUGAAGUCCGCAAAAAAUGCAAUUCUUAGCGGGAGUUCAGCGGGGGGAUUAGCUGCAAUGAUUCAUUGCGAUUACUAUCAUGAGCUUCUCCCUAAGACUGCUAAAGUAAAAUGCCUCGGGAUUGCGUCAUAUUUUUUGCACCAGGAAAAUACAGUUGGAAGGAAAGAGUUUGAGUCGGAGUUUGAGGCAUUAGUUACUUUACAUGGAUCCGCCAAAACUCUGCAUCCAUUGUGCACUAAGUUAAUGAGGCCAAGUCUGUGUUUUUUCCGCAAUAUUUUCUCUUAUAUGUAAAGACGCCAGUUUUCAUAGCAAUGUCCGCGUUUGACAAAAUUCAGGUAUCAUUUAAUUUGUUUUAUGUGGAUGAGUUAUGCCUUCUAAGUAAUAGCUGCACUCAUGACCAGAAUGAGGCAAUACAUGAGUUGAGAAUGGACUUUUUAGCUGAACUACCCAAAUCCAUUCCUUUACACAGAGGAAUUUGGAUUACAAAUUGCGUUGCACAUGACUUGCCAUACUCUUGGACACUGGUGGAGAAUAUGAAAACCCUAGGCUACAAGUCGUUUCCCGAAGCAUUUGAUGAUUGGUAUUUCGAUCGAUGUUACAUUCCUGUGAUUGACACUUCGGGGGAUGCCAAAUAUUGUAAAUCAAUUGGAAUAUAUCCAUAGGAACAUAUGAUAGAUGGUGGGAUAAUGUAUUUUAUUUUAUUAUUGAGAUAUUCGAAAAAUGACUUAUGCAAUUUCUUUUAUUUUCAUAUUUGUAACUCUUAAAGUUCAUCAUAUAAUCAUAGAGCGAAACAUGGAUCACACCAUGUUGAUAUUCUCUUAACAUCUUUCCUAAGGCCAA